rnacentral:rRNA from 1 species
UACAGAGGGGGCAAGCGUUAUUCGGAAUUAUUGGGCGUAAAGGGCGCGUAGGCGGCUUUGCAAGUGACGGGUGAAAUCCCUCGGCUUAACCGAGGAACUGCCUGUCAAACUGCAUGGCUUGAGACCGGGAGAGGUGAGUGGAAUUCCCAGUGUAGCGGUGAAAUGCGUAGAUAUUGGGAGGAACACCAAUGGCGAAGGCAGCUCGCUGGAACGGUACUGACGCUGAGGCGCGAAAGCGUGGGGAGCGAACAGG